AAACAUGUCUUUUUGAGUUGAAUUAAAAGUCUGACCUGCCCACUGAGUAAUUUUAAAUGGCCGCAGUAUUUUGACUGUGCAAAGGUAGCAUAAUCAUUUGUCUUUUAAUUGAAGGCUGGUAUGAAUGGUUGGAUGAGAUAUAAGCUGUUUCAUGUAAAUUUAUUAUAGAAUUUUAUAUUUUAGUUAAAAAGCUAAAAUUUUAUUAAAAGACGAGAAGACCCUAUAAAUCUUUAUAUUUUUUAUUAUUUUAAUUUUUUAGAUUUAUUUUAUUUUUAUAUUAAAAAAUAUUUUGUUGGGGUGAUUUUAAAAUUUAAUGAACUUUUAAUUUUUAAAAUCAUUAAUUUAUGAAUUGUUGAUCCRUUAAUACUGAUUAUAAGAUUAAGUUACUUUAGGGAUAACAGCGUAAUUUUUUUUGAGAGUUCAUAUCGAUAAAAAAGUUUGCGACCUCGAUGUUGGAUUAAGGAAUAAUUUUGGGUGUAGCUGUUCAAAUAUUAAGUCUGUUCGACUUUUAAAUUCUUAC
rnacentral:rRNA from 1 species